rnacentral:rRNA from 1 species
UGGGGAAUAUUGGACAAUGGGCGAAAGCCUGAUCCAGCAAUGCCGCGUGUGUGAAGAAGGUCUUCGGAUUGUAAAGCACUUUCGACGGGGACGGAUGAUGACGGUACCCGUAGAAGAAGCCCCGGCUAACUUCGUGCCUG